CGACGUCGCGAAUCCGGCCGCAUUCGCUAGGUCCGGAAAUAUUCCUCGCGGAUUGGAGCUCGAGGCAGUGGCGAAUAUGGCCGUCCGGGUGGAGCUCGCAGAUGGGGCGAAGCUCCAACGCUCUUCCCGCAAAGGUCGGGGCUGCGAUCUCUCAUUUCUUCUCUUCAAGCUUCUCAUAGCUUUUUCGUAUGUUUUUUUUUCCUUUCUUUGUUUGCUUUAGCUUCCGCCAGGCAUUGAGAUGGCUAUCGAUGCCACAGGAGCUCCACUUUUUGGAGAUUGUUGUUUUUCUGG
rnacentral:lncRNA from 1 species